rnacentral:rRNA from 1 species
GCCUACGGGAGGCAGCAGUGGGGGAUAUUGGACAAUGGGGGGAACCCUGAUCCAGCGACGCCGCGUGAGUGAAGAAGUAUUUCGGUAUGUAAAGCUCUGUCAGCAGGGAAGAAAGCAAUGACGGUACCUGACCAAGAAGCCCCGGCUAACUACGUGCCAGCAGCCGCGGUAAUACGUAGGGGGCAAGCGUUAUCCGGAUUUACUGGGUGUAAAGGGAGCGUAGACGGUUGUGCAAGUCUGAAGUGAAAGCCCGCGGCUCAACUGCGGAACGGCUUUGGAAACUGUGUAACUGGAGUGCUGGAGAG